GUGGGUUGCUACAGAAGUCGGUGCGCCAACCGCAAGGAGGCAGCCGCCUAAGAAGUGGCUCAUGACUGGGGUGAAGUCGUAACAAGGUAGCCGUAGGUGAACCUGCAGAAGGAUCA
rnacentral:rRNA from 1 species